UUAGGCGGGAGUUCGGUGCCGGGGGACCUGACUGGGGCCGGCAGACACCAAGAAGAGCCGCGGCUAGGUUCCUGGGAACCUGAGAGCCCACUGAGAGCCUGAUGUCGCGGAUGCCUGCCGUAAAGCGCGGGGGAGAGCGAUAGCGCUGUGGUGCCAUAAGGCACGCUGAGAGCUGGGAGCCUGGUUCCCCAGACGCCAUCACGACUGCGCAGCCGCUGGGCGCCGUGAUGCUGUAAUUCCGUGCUUGGAAUCCUUGGCUCCUAUGAAGGCAAAUGUACACACACAGGAUAUACAGUGUUCUUGAGUUGCAUGCUGUGCUUCAGUAGCUGUCUUUUGUUCAGAACUUCAGCAUACUUGCAGAUCAUUUACCGUGUGUUUGAUAUUACAAAACCAGCACAGGCUCUUUUUAAGCUGCCUCCAUGACUGGUGCUCUGUCCCAGGUAAUCAACAUGCCAAGACUUCUUUCUCUUCUCACUUAAUUAUAGAAAUGACAUUUCCUCUCUGCAAAUGUUCUGACUUGGAUUUCUACUUCAACAGAAAGAUUCCUUUCAAGUAUGGACCAUUCACUCUCAUUUGCACUGUUGCAAAUCUGGAAAACAUGAAAACAGCAGAGCAUAUUUAAAAGUACCCAAAAAGCAAUGAACCAGAAGUUUUGUUCCACUUUUUACUAAUUAUCUUUGUGACAUUAGAUAAGCCACUUAAUCUGCUUGAGUCUCAUAUUUCUAUGUAGUAAAUUAGUAGGUAAUAGCAAAAUAAUCUGUUACCUCUCUCAUACUUUAAUAUUUUGUGAUUUCUAGCCAGAAAAAUACACUGAUUUACUAAGUACAGAACUUUUUCUUGCCAUUCCUAAUAAACUGGGAAAAAUAGAGUCUAAUAAAAUCUUCAGAGUCCCCUGAACAAAAUUGUUCUUUUGAUUGAUGUUCCUUUUACUAGUCAUUAUGUGUGGUGAAAUGAAAAAAAAAAAGUAUAUAUUGGUCUAAUGUAGUCUCUCUUUGUUAACUUCUCCUUUGUUCACAAUCACAAAUCAGUGGUGGCAUGAAAAUAUACACAGUGGACAUGACUACAUAAGAGCCCAUGCUAAGUGGCUUAUUUUUCUGGAUUUGCUAAUUUACACAGCAUAAUUUCUCCAGAGACUGAAGGGAUCUUCGCUUCAAUUUGUGCUGUAGUGAUCUGGCUACAGAAUCACUGAUUAAUUAAUAUUGGAGCAUGCCAUGUUCUUACCAAAGGAGCGUAAAGCCUGUCACACAGUUUCUGACUAUGAGAAAUAAAGCCAGUGUGACAUAAGGAAUACAUAUCAGUUGAAUUGACUUAAUGGUCCUAGACACUGGGAACUGGACAUCUAUGUUUAAAAAAAAAUAGUACUUACUAUGUGUCCCUUCAUUUGUUUUCUGCCAGAAAGAUAUUUUUUCUCUGUACAUGCAUAAUCCUGACUGGAAGCCUGUUCACAGGAUUCAGUCUAACAUACUAGAUGUAUCCAAGUGAAAUGACAACACGACACUCAAUCACCAUAUGCUGGAAGCACUUGAUUAAUCCACUUAUUUUCCUACUUUAACACACACUUCUGAAAGUGACAUGGACCACAGAGCAUACAAGAGCAUGAGAUCUAUUCCCAGGAAAAAAAAAAAAAAGGAGAGCUGAAUUAAUAACAGA